rnacentral:rRNA from 1 species
AGAGUUUGAUCCUGGCUCAGGACGAACGCUGGCGGCGUGCCUAAUACAUGCAAGUCGAACGCUUCUUUUUCCACCGGAGCUUGCUCCACCGGAAAAAGAAGAGUGGCGAACGGGUGAGUAACACGUGGGUAACCUGCCCAUCAGAAGGGGAUAACACUUGGAAACAGGUGCUAAUACCGUAUAACAAUCAAAACCGCAUGGUUUUGAUUUGAAAGGCGCUUUCGGGUGUCGCUGAUGGAUGGACCCGCGGUGCAUUAGCUAGUUGGUGAGGUAACGGCUCACCAAGGCCACGAUGCAUAGCCGACCUGAGAGGGUGAUCGGCCACAUUGGGACUGAGACACGGCCCAAACUCCUACGGGAGGCAGCAGUAGGGAAUCUUCGGCAAUGGACGAAAGUCUGACCGAGCAACGCCGCGUGAGUGAAGAAGGUUUUCGGAUCGUAAAACUCUGUUGUUAGAGAAGAACAAGGAUGAGAGUAACUGUUCAUCCCUUGACGGUAUCUAACCAGAAAGCCACGGCUAACUACGUGCCAGCAGCCGCGGUAAUACGUAGGUGGCAAGCGUUGUCCGGAUUUAUUGGGCGUAAAGCGAGCGCAGGUGGUUUCUUAAGUCUGAUGUGAAAGCCCCCGGCUCAACCGGGGAGGGUCAUUGGAAACUGGGAGACUUGAGUGCAGAAGAGGAGAGUGGAAUUCCAUGUGUAGCGGUGAAAUGCGUAGAUAUAUGGAGGAACACCAGUGGCGAAGGCGGCUCUCUGGUCUGUAACUGACGCUGAGGCUCGAAAGCGUGGGGAGCAAACAGGAUUAGAUACCCUGGUAGUCCACGCCGUAAACGAUGAGUGCUAAGUGGUGGAGGGUUUCCGCCCUUCAGUGCUGCAGCUAACGCAUUAAGCACUCCGCCUGGGGAGUACGACCGCAAGGUUGAAACUCAAAGGAAUUGACGGGGGCCCGC